GUUGACCAAAGCGGACGUCAAUUAAAAUAAAAGAAAUGUUUUUUCUGUGAAAGUGGAUUAGGGUUGUGAUGAAAAGGAAACGGAGUUAACGGACAUCCAUGAUUCUAUUCCGAGAAUCGGCACAAAGGCGGACUUUCGGUCAAAAGUCAUUUUAGAAUUUUUCUGAAGACCCCUAGAACAAGCUGCCAAUGCAAAAUAAAGGAACAGCGAUUGAGUUUUUAUAUUAA